CAGUAGCCGCGGGAAAACGGAGGGGGCUAGCGUUGUUCGGAAUUACUGGGCGUAAAGCGCACGUAGGCGGCUUGGUAAGUUAGAGGUGAAAGCCUGGAGCUCAACUCCAGAAUUGCCUUUAAGACUGCCGAGCUAGCAGGUGAGAGAGGUAAGUGGAAUUCCGAGUGUAGAGGUGAAAUUCGUAGAUAUUCGGAAGAACACCAGUGGCGAAGGCGGCUUACUGGCUCAUACUGGACGCUGAGGUGCGAAAGCGUGGGGAGCAAACAGGAUUAGAUACCCCGGUAGUCCCUGUCUCUUAUAC
rnacentral:rRNA from 1 species